AUUGAACGCUGGCGGCAUGCUUUACACAUGCAAGUCGAACGGUAACAGGCCGCAAGGUGCUGACGAGUGGCGAACGGGUGAGUAAUGCAUCGGAACGUGCCCAGUCGUGGGGGAUAACUACUCGAAAGAGUAGCUAAUACCGCAUACGAUCUAUGGAUGAAAGCGGGGGACCGUAAUGCCUCGCGCGAUUGGAGCGGCCGAUGUCAGAUUAGGUAGUUGGUCGGGUAAAGGCUCACCAAGCCAACGAUCUGUAGCUGGUCUGAGAGGACGACCAGCCACACUGGGACUGAGACACGGCCCAGACUCCUACGGGAGGCAGCAGUGGGGAAUUUUGGACAAUGGGCGCAAGCCUGAUCCAGCAAUGCCGCGUGCAGGAAGAAGGCCUUCGGGUUGUAAACUGCUUUUGUACGGAACGAAACGGCUCUGGUUAAUACCCGGGGCUAAUGACGGUACCGUAAGAAUAAGCACCGGCUAACUACGUG
rnacentral:rRNA from 1 species